GGGGUUGUGGCUCAGUGGUGGAGCGCUUGUCUCACAUGCAUGGGGAACUGGGUUCAAUCCUCAGCACCACA
rnacentral:tRNA from 1 species